UGUUAUAUAAGCCCUCACUUUCGCUCGGGCAAAAAUAAUCACGAAUAUAAUGCCUACCCAUGUUAAAACUACAAUAAAGUAUAGCUUGCAUUAAUUAUUUCGAUUCUGAAUAGUCUAAUUAAGGUAAUUUCUAUGUCAAGCUAUACUUAAUUGUAGUUUUAACAUUGGUAGGCAUUAUGUUCGUGUUAUUUUAGCCCUCACUAUCGCUCGGGCAAAAAUAAUCACGAAUAUAAUGUCUACCCAUGUUAAAACUACAAUAAAGUAUAGAUUGCAUCAAUUAUUUCUUAAAUUAAACUG
rnacentral:lncRNA from 1 species